UAGAUUUAAAAGAAUCUACUAAUGCGAGAUUUCAUUAACUACAGUUGUUAGUGAGCCAGAUUAACAUCGCCGCGUAAAUGUAGUGAUAAUGAUGGUUUUGGGAACACACGACGCUUAAUCAUAUACUUAUGGUGCGGAAGUGACAGCAAAAUUGGUGUAGCACCCAUGUAGCACCGUGCCAACUGUUUUGCUACGUGUCACGUGUACAAAUCUAAUUUUCUGAUUGACAACUGUGACUUUGUCUUUUCGUACUCCUUUCUCAUAUUUGCUCAUCUCGCACGUCCCCAAGUUACGAAAAUAUGCGGCAAUUGAAGGGAAAGACGAAAGAGACGAACAAACAGAAAAAAGAACGGAAAAAGGAAUUCUUGGAGAAUAAGCAGAGAGUAUUCACAGUUGUGUUGCCUACUGUAGCUGCAAUAUUUGUGAUAAUAGCAGCAUACGUUUAUAUUAAAACCCGUCCAAAACUUAUUGAAUACUAAUAACAUCUAUCACUUCUUUUAUCAUUCAUUCACUCAGACUGAACCAUGCUUUGAUGAUACAUAGACAAUUUCUCGUUGCAUUUUCAUGAAUAUAUGAAAGUUUCUCUAAAA